UCUCUCUCUCUCUCUCGCAAGAUUCCAUUCAGUCGCCGAUCUUUCCAACUGUUUCAAUAUCCGUCCUCUCUCUAACACAUACCAUAAUGUUCCCAGCAUCCCAAGGUCUUGAGAUUCUUCGUUUGAAUUCUGGGUUCUUCUGAGUACAUUGUGAAAAGCACAGGUUUGGAUUCGAUUGCUUGAAAUGGAGGGUGAUACAAAGUUGGAUGGGAAGGCAGUGCAGACAUUUCAGAAGAAUUUUAUUCAAGUCCAGAAUAUACUCGAUCAGAAUAGGGUGCUAAUCAAUGAAAUUAAUCGGAAUCAUGAGUCAAAGAUUCCUGACAAUUUAAGCAGAAAUGUGGGACUGAUCAGAGAACUCAACAACAAUAUCAGAAGAGUGGUUGAUUUAUAUGGUCAUCUGUCAACUUCUUUCACAAAAUCUGUGGAUGCUUCAUCUGAGGGAGAUUCAAAUGGUCACAAAAGGGGUAGGCCUGCUUAGAUUCAUAGAAAGAAAUGCAGUCCAUUUCUCUGAUCUUAAUUCUUUUACUUGAUGUCUUAUUAUUGUCUUGAAAUCGCUUGUUACAAAAUAAUAUUAGCUCCAAGUUACUCGAGCAUGAUUCGGUCAUUGAAUUUCUUGCUUUGUUCGUAUUUUAGCAUGAAGUU